rnacentral:rRNA from 1 species
AUUGAACGCUGGCGGCAGGCCUAACACAUGCACGUCGAACGAGUGGAGGAAGGGUGAGUAAUGUCUGGGAAACUGCCCGAUGGAGGGGGAUAACUACUGGAAACGGUAGCUAAUACCGCAUACCAUCGGAUGUGCCCCGAUGGGAUUAGCUAGUAGGUGGGGUAACGGCUCACCUAGGCCACGAUCCCUAGCUGGUCUGAGAGGAUGACCACCCACACUGGAACUGAGACACGGUCCAGACUCCGACGGGAGGCAGCAUUGGGGAAUAUUGCACAAUGGGCGCAAGCCUGAGGCAGCCAUGCCGCGUGUAUGAAGAAGGCCUUCGGGUUGUAAAGUACUUUCAGCGAGGAGGCGUUACUCGCAGAAGAAGCACCGGCUAACUCCGUGCCAGCAGCCGCGGUAAUAC